rnacentral:rRNA from 1 species
GUCGAACGGUAACAGGAAGAAGCUUGCUUCUUUGCUGACGAGUGGCGGACGGGUGAGUAAUGUCUGGGAAACUGCCUGAUGGAGGGGGAUAACUACUGGAAACGGUAGCUAAUACCGCAUAACGUCGCAAGACCAAAGAGGGGGACCUUCGGGCCUCUUGCCAUCGGAUGUGCCCAGAUGGGAUUAGCUAGUAGGUGGGGUAACGGCUCACCUAGGCGACGAUCCCUAGCUGGUCUGAGAGGAUGACCAGCCACACUGGAACUGAGACACGGUCCAGACUCCUACAGGAGGCAGCAGUGGGGAAUAUUGCACAAUGGGCGCAAGCCUGAUGCAGCCAUGCCGCGUGUAUGAAGAAGGCCUUCGGGUUGUAAAGUACUUUCAGCGGGGAGGAAGGGAGUAAAGUUAAUACCUUUGCUCAUUGACGUUACCCGCAGAAGAAGCACCGGCUAACUCCGUGCCAGCAGCCGCGGUAAUACGGAGGGUGCAAGCGUUAAUCGGAAUUACUGGGCGUAAAGCGCACGCAGGCGGUUUGUUAAGUCAGAUGUGAAAUCCCCGGGCUCAACCUGGGAACUGCAUCUGAUACUGGCAAGCUUGAGUCUCGUAGAGGGGGGUAGAAUUCCAGGUGUAGCGGUGAAAUGCGUAGAGAUCUGGAGGAAUACCGGUGGCGAAGGCG